rnacentral:misc_RNA from 1 species
AACGCACCUUGCACUCUUUGGUAUUCCGAAGAGUAUGUCUGUUUGAGUGUCUUGAAUCUCUCAACCCCCCCUGUUUUGUAAUGAGACAGGCGCUUGGGCUUGGAUUAUGGCUGCCUGCUGGCUUGUAAUGAGCCGGCUCAGCUGAAAUACAAGAGUAUUCCCCGUUUCAUUAGACGAACGGCUUGUACUUGGCGUAAUAAUUAUUUCGUCGAGGACGUUCAACUUUUUAAACGAUCGGUUUGCUUCUAACUCGUUUCCAAUCCUUUAACUAGGAUUAGAACACUUUUAAGCUUAGACCUCAAAUCAGGCAGGGCUACCCGCUGAACUUAA